GCAGUGGUAUCAGUGACGGAGCCAGGAUUUUUUUUUUUGGGGGGCCAAAAUUGAAAUUCCAUUCAAAGAUGACUAAUUCAUAUAUAUAUAUAUAUAUAUAUAUAUAUCAACUCUCAUAAUAUAAACUAAAAUUGAAAAAAUUUAGGGGGGGCCAAUUUUAUUUUACACACAUAUUUACAUAUUAUGAAUUAAAAUUCUCAAAACUUAGGGGGGGCCAUGGCCCCCCUCUGCCCCCCUUGGCUCCGUCAUUGAGUGGUAUCAUAUGGCCUGGGAAUGUUCUGUCCCAGGCUUUUAGACUCUGUGUAUUGUAUUUAGAGCAGCUCUCUGAGAUCUUCAGUCCCGAAGAUUUCUUUCGAAAAUGAGAUAAUAUAUUUUUCAAGACAUGACAUCUACUCCCAUCACAUGUGGUAUAUUGCACAACAAAAUAGUAGUGGAUUUUCAUGGAACAAAAUAGUAGAGAAUUUAUUUGCCUACAAAAUCAAAAUGCUUCGAGGACAAAUAUCAUCAUUCUUCUAGAAUCCUGACAGAAGAACACAUUUGUGACUGACUGACAUUUUGGUAGGAUCCAGGGCUGGAACGGUUGUCAGAGCAACCGUUUUGGAAGGUGUGGUAUAAUAUCAUUUGUACAAGAUAUAACAAUAGAACAAUAACGAGCAACACUAGAACAAUAUUUUUGUGGGUCCCAUAAGACGUGAAACUCGAGUUACAAGAGUGAUUUGAGCCGCACAAAUUAUUUUGGUCUAAUCGUGGCCGUGAACCUUCCGAAACGGUUGUCAGAGACGUUCCAGCCCCUCCUCCCAUUUUGGUAUGAUAUGAUAACAUUGGACAAGUGUCCAGGUGGUUCGUUUCAUUAUUGUCAUUUGAUCCGUCUCCUCCUAUCAGUCCCCUCGUGUCAUUUCAUUAUUUCUUUUUCUUUUUCUUUUUUUUUGUUUUGCCGUGCAUUCCAUUGAGUAAUAUGUUUUCUGAAAGAGGAAAUGAUUAAGGUCCCUUUCUAAGUGCUCCAUAUUAGCAAAAAAAUAAGGGCAGAGAAUUAGAUAUUCCCCUUUAGUUUUAAUUCAGCAGAAAUCUCGUGUAAUCUCUGUCUCUGUCAUUAAAUGUGUUAAAUUAAUUCAGCAAUGUAUAUACCUAUUGUUAUAUUAAUUCAACUACUCCUAUGAGAUAAAAUAUCUGCACUGUUUUUCUUUUUAAAAUGUUUGGUUGGCUUUGCUUUUGGGGGUACUAGUACUAGUGCUUCCCUGAACACCCACUGAAUUUUUAGUAGAAACCAUAUAUAUUAGUGACAAUUAAUUGACCUCCCACUCUACAAAGACACAAAAUAAGUGCCGCCCUUGCAAGUGAUUAGACCUGCUAUGAUGGCCAAUCAUCGAACAGGUCGUUGGUUAAGGGGAGAAAAAUUGAAAAUCAUAUGCUAAGAGACAGCGCGACUUAAACGAUGAUAAUCAUGAAUUAAAAGAUGGUUCACCUCUUAAUAAUGUCGUGAUUGUAAAUCCUUUUUAUAGGUGGACUAGGCAAAAAAAUUUGCAAAAAAGAAAAAGAAUUGCUGUGUACUUAAAAAAUGUAGGGCCAUAUGCAAAUGAUGGAGUCCGUUGUCUUAUGCAGGGAAGAUUGAGCCAAGAUCCGGCACCAGAUUAAAAGAUGAAUCAAGUGAUAAAAAAGAGUUGUGUUUGAUAGCUGUAGCCGGAUGCCACUUUACACAACGCAAGUGCCCCGCUUAGCUGCCGAAAAAAAUAAAAAUAAUAAUAAAAAUGAAUUGCAUAAUCAGUCUCAGUAACAGCUAGACAAAAAAUUGCCUAUCUUGAUACUAGUAAUCUUUUAGAACGAUGCUCCUAGUUACUAGUUAGUGUACACAUGUUCUUUUCUGUAAAAAUAUGUGAAAUAAGUACUAGUGAAUAGAAUUAUUGUUUAGAUUCCCUUUUUAUUUUAAAAUUUUUUUAUGUUUUUAAUUUAUAUAUAUUAAAUUGUUAUAAAAUGAUUUUUUUUUGCAAAAACUCAAAAAAAUUCCAAACGGGCACGGGACCCAGCCAAAAAGACCGAAUUGAUCAAGUCCUUGUUGUUCUAACUCUUGGGUGUUUUCUGGCGCCAGGUGUCACCAACGCCUGCAUUGUUUACUUCUAGGACGGUCUGUAAAGAAACCUUUAAAAUGUCGAAUCUGAAAUUUCAGUACGUAUAUUAAACUUCUUUAAUCGCUUUUUUUUUUUUUUCCAAUCCAUCCAAAAAUGCUAGAAACCAUUAAUUUAUGUACCCAUGAGUUUAAUAUAACCCCCAUUCCAUUAGAUAAGGUAUGAUAUGGGUAGUUUUUAUUCAUGCUUGCCAAACUUGCCCAGUCCAAUUUCAGAACCAGUACGCUAACUGGCUUAGUAAAUGUAUAAAAGAAAAGUUUGAGUUGGGGCCAAAAAUGAUCAGACCGGUUGGAUGAUCAAUUCGCUGUUCACAUCUGAAACUAAACAAUUCCGAGCAUGCCAUAAUAACAUCAACUUUACAUUUUUUUUUGUUUCAUGUAUGUAUCUCUCUCUCUCUCUCUAUAUAUAUAUAUCUUAUAAAAGAAAAGGAGAAAAAGAAGAGAACUUUUUUUUCCGAUACGAUAAAUUAUAUUCUAUACCUACUCCCAAUCUAUACUAGGGAGACGAGGAUCUAAAGAGGCCGAAAAGGAAUUCGGAAACUGAACCACCACUGACUCAGAUGGCACCAGUUAAUAAAAUUUUCAGGAAAACUUGAAUAUUUAAAAUGCAGGCCAAGGGAUCAAAUCAAAUCUCUUAACCUACAUUCAAGUAGAGUUUUUGAACUCUUUUGAUGGCCAAGUACUCUAGAAGUAGUUGGUUGAGAAAGAAGAGAACACGAGUGUUCAUUCACACAAUCAACGGCCUUUUAGGUUGUUGGCUACUACUAAAAACUAGACCUGGCAAUUAUACCCAAAACCCAACAACCCACCCAAUCAACCCACUAAUUUCAGAAGUUGGGUUGGGUAAAUUGGGUGUUGGGUUAAUUUUGGGUUGGGUAAUAAAAACCCAUACAUAUUUUGGGCGGGUUUGGGUAAUUAAGUUGGGUACCCAUUACCCAACUUAAAAAACAAAUAAACCUCCACCACCGCCAGCUUCACACCUUUACUCUUUAGCAAAUUAACAAUCCUCUCCACGAAGAGUUCUUUCUUUCUUGCUAACAACGAUUUCAAUCAAAAUAAACAAAUUUUCAAUUCCACUUUGGGUUCAUUUUUGCUACCCUUUUGCAAUUCUAUCAUCUCAAAUCCAAGCAGAAGUCACAAAAUCUCAUAUUAAAGCUGUCGAACCUUAAUCUCAGAUCUUAGACAAAUUGCUUUUAUCCUGCAAACAAUUUUGUACGUAUUCUAUGUCCUUUUGGGUAAUUUUCGUAUGUACUUUUAGCCUUUUACGUUUGUUUGAUCUUGAGCUCCUAAGCCUCGAGGAGUACUUCUCUCUAAUGUCCAAAAAUCCAGGAUUGAAAUAUUGAGUAUUUAGGCAGCUUCAGUUCUCAGUUCAACAGAUUUUUUCUUUUUCGUUCAUUGCUUUAAUUUGGAAGCUACAACUUGUAUGGAUAAUUCUAAAUAUGUGCCAUAUGAACAUGGUUGUUCGAAUAUUUUCGUGAUUAGGUAUUCUUCUUGUUGCUUUUAAAAAUUUUUUGUAUGUAAAAAUAUAUUUAAGAGAAUUUAUGUAUCAAAAUCUAUUAAUUAAUAUAUUGGGUCACAUUGGGUCAUAUUUGGGUCAUGGGUUUGAGAUGACCCAAUGUGACCCAACCCAAAAGUAAUCCAAUUUAAAGUUGGGCGGAUUGGGUAUAACCCAUUUAAAUGAAAACCCAAUAUCAACCCGCCCAAAACCGCCCAACCCGCCCAAUUGUCAGGUCUACUAAAAACUUUAAGUCUUGAUGGAGUAGAAGGUCAAGAAUAAAAACCUUGCUGGAGUAGAAGGUCAAGAAAAAAAUAUGCUCAAUGACUCGAACCAGUCAGUCCAUCUCCAAGUAAAAGCCUUACCAAAUCUGUCAGAUGGUCCACUGCAUCCGGGCGGCCAAGAAAUUUGUAAGAACUUGAGGCCAUGGAAUUUCCCGUGCACCAAACAAAAAGAGAGUUGUUACUACAUGGCAUUAUAGCAAUAUAGCUGAUAGCUCCUCAAUGCAGUGGGGCUACCCGUAGAUUUGCAACUGAAGAAACGUAAUCUCCUUCCGGCAAACACCGAGAACGUGUCAAAAUUUUGUAGGACACAAAAAGGCGAAAUUUGGGAAAAAGAAUUUCUUAAUGAUUCCACUUAGCCGGAGGAAAAAAAACCAUAAUUAACAGUUUUUUCUUAUCAUACACAAUUUCGCAUGCCAUCAGGACCCUGAAUUCAGUGGAAGGAAAAAGAGAAUCCACUUGAACUCACACACAGCUGACAAUAUACAAAGACCUGAGCGACUGGGUUCUGGUUCGGGCCAGUCCAACCUCAGAAGACAGCUUUUGCAGCAUCCGUAUUCCACCUAAUGCUUUUUGUUGCUUUGCAGAAUCUCAUGCUUCUUGUCCAUCUUCUGUCUCUGGAAAGAAAUCCAUAGGAUUUGGACGAUAUAUGAAACGAGAAGUUGAAAAAAAAAAAAGAAGGAAGAUUCUUAAGCAGUAAAAGCCAAACUUUUUGCUUCUUCUUUAAGUACACGCCAAGUUCUCCACUAUGUAAGGCAGCAUAUCCACAAGUCAGAUAUACAAUUUGGCUUCCUUUUGGAGUCGAAACUUAACAGCUUCACCACUAACUAUAGAAUCAUUAGGUUCUGCCGCAUCAACAGCUCCACCUAGGUGUAGUGUCAGUGGAACACAAGAUCUAACUGAGCAAAAAUCCCUGUUCUAACCAAGUUAAUCACCAAACACUGGACUCACUAUUUACAGAAAGUCAACAUUUGAGCUUUUCUUUGCCCAAUUUCAGCUCUAAGGCGUAUUGUAUUUAUUUUAAAAUUUAAAAAAAUUUUGAAAAUUUCACGGAGCAAAUGCACGGCUGCUUACUAACAACAGAGUGAGAAAAUUCUGAAACCAAAGAAGACUGCAUGCGAAGGUCGUAAAGUUUUUCGAGCAUGAAGUGCAUCUGACAAGUAGAUUUCAACCUCAGGAGCAAAUCUUCUUCCACUGCAUUCAACCGCCAUGUAAAUGUCUUGCAAGCAAUAAGAGCUUCAAAUCAACGUAAACAAAUCUCUUCUGACUAGAUUAAUCCAAAGGAAAGUCGUUUCUACAAGGCCAGCUCAAAACUGUACAUGGUUCAAUCCCCAUAGCUAAUAUGAACAUAGGACUAACAGGUGGACAUAUAAGUUGCAAUUUAGCAAUCAGUUAGCAAAACUUGAGAGACAACAAAACAAAUGGAAAAAGGAACGCAACUAUCCGUUCCCCUUUGCAGAAGACUAAACAAAGGAAGUGAAAUGAAGCCACUCCAAUCUGAGUCUGAGCAUCAGAGAGAAUACCCACAUGCAUGUCCCUGUAACUUUCUCCAUUGCUUUUGUCUUCCUCAGAAUUCUAUUAUCUACAGUGGCAGAAUAUCUAGUAUAAAUCUCAGUCUCUCCCUUUAAGGUUCUAAUCAGCUAGAUGAAUCUACACGGUCCAUGCCCUAGUUUCAUACAAAACGUGGUAAGGGACGUUCUUGCUGACAAGAUGAUCAUGGAAGCUCCUUUUCUUGUGAUUCUUCGAUUACUGAGUUUUUAACUGAGAUCCCAUCAAGUAUAUCACUUUCGGAAUCUACCUGUAGCUCUUUGAACAUGGCCAUC
rnacentral:lncRNA from 1 species